GCAGAUCCAAUUUUCUGCCACCGAAUACAUUAGCAUGGGAUAAUGGAAUAGGACCCUGUCCUCCUAUUUUCAGUUGGUUUUGGCAGCGCGAGGACUAGGGUAAUGAUUAAUAGGGAUAGUUGGGGGCAUUAAUAUUUAAUUGUCAGAGGUGAAAUUCUUGGAUUUAUGAAAGAUUAACUUCUGCGAAAGCAUCUGCCAAGGAUGUUUUCAUUAAUCAAGAACGAAAGUUAGGGGAUCGAAGACGAUCAGAUACCGUCGUAGUCUUAACCAUAAACGAUGCCGACCAGCGAUUAGGAGACGUUGAAUACAAAACACCACCAUCGGUGCGGUCAUCCUUGGCGUUGGGCUUCUCAAGACACCGCGGGGGGGGGUUACUCCGGCGGGACCGGCCAAUGACUCCCCUCCCAAGUUGUGAGAAAGAA
rnacentral:rRNA from 1 species